rfam:Brevibacillus brevis NBRC 100599 DNA, complete genome.
ACAAGCAACUUGGGGAGUCCUUCAUGCGGGGCUGAGAGGAUGGAAGCAAUCGACCAUCGACCCAUUGCACCUGAUCCGGAUCAUGCCGGCGCAGGGAUACGGUUGCCGGCAGACAGC